rnacentral:tRNA from 1 species
GCCUGUUUGGCUCAGUGGAUAGAGCAUUGGCCUGUGAACCAAUGGGCCCUGGGUUCAAUUCCGGUCAAGGGCA